rnacentral:misc_RNA from 1 species
AUGAAGAACGUAGCGAAAUGCGAUAAGUAGUGUGAAUUGCAGAAUUCAGUGAAUCAUCGAAUCUUUGAACGCACAUUGCGCCCCUUGGUAUUCCAUGGGGCAUGCCUGUUUGAGCGUCAUUUGUACCUUCAAGCUUUGCUUGGUGUUGGGUGUUUGUCCCUCGGGACUCGCCUUAAAGUCAUUGGCAGCCAGUGUUUUGGUUUUGAAGCGCAGCACAAGUCGCGAUUCAAGGCUAUCCGCCCGCUUCCACAAGCCUUUUUCACUUUUGACCUCGGAUCAGGUAGGGAUACCCGCUGAACUUAAGCAUAUCAAUAAGCGGAGGA